GAAGCAGAUCGGGUGAUUGCUCCCUGCCGGUACGGGGGGAGAGGAAAGUCCGGGCUCCGUAUAGCAGCGUAACGGGUAAUACCCGUCCACCGUAAGGUGCGGAUCAGAGCCACAGAGACGAGCAUGUGCACGGACAGACAUGGAUUUUAAAACGGAUGUACACAGUUAUUCGUGAAAGUUCGCAGGAAUCCGUGGUGGUCCGUGUAUUGAGGUGAAACGCGGUAAUCUCUACGCGGAGCAAGGUCAAAUAGGGGAGAAAUCAGAAAAAUCCGGUACAUUCGGAAAGACUGGUACGAAGCGGCUAGUUUCGUCAUGACUCCCGGGUAGGCCGCAGGAGGCCGUCAGUAAUGGCGGCCCAAGAUGGAUAAUCACCGGGCAGGUAACCCUGCCUACAGAACCCGGCUUACAGAUCUGCUUCAAUA
rnacentral:RNase_P_RNA from 1 species